rnacentral:rRNA from 1 species
CCUACGGGUGGCAGCAGUGGGGAAUCUUGGACAAUGGGGGGAACCCUGAUCCAGCGACGCCGCGUGAGUGAAGAAGUAUUUCGGUAUGUACAGCUCUAUCAGCAGGGAAGAAAGAAAUGACGGUACCUGACUAAGAAGCCCCGGCUAACUACGUGCCCGCAGCCGCGGUAAUACGUAGGGGGCAAGCGUUAUCCGGAUUUACUGGGUGUAAAGGGAGCGUAGACGGCGCUGCAAGUCUGAAGUGACAGGCGGGGGCUCAACCCCCGGACUGCUUUGGAAACUGUAUGGCUGGAGUGCAGGAGAGGUAAGUGGAAUUCCGAGUGUAGCGGUGAAAUGCGUAGAUAUUAGGAGGAACACCAGUGGCGAAGGCGGCUUACUGGACUGUAACUGACGUUGAGGCUCGAAAGCGUGGGGAGCAAACAGGAUUAGAUACCCGUGUAGUC